rnacentral:rRNA from 1 species
AAUGAACGCUGGCGGCAUGCCUUACACAUGCAAGUCGAACGGCAGCAUGACCUCGCUUGCUAGGUUGAUGGCGAGUGGCGAACGGGUGAGUAAUGCAUCGGAACGUGCCUUUUAGUGGGGGAUAACGUAGCGAAAGUUACGCUAAUACCGCAUAUUCUCUGAGGAGGAAAGCAGGGGACCUUCGGGCCUUGCGCUAGAAGAGCGGCCGAUGUCGGAUUAGCUAGUUGGUGAGGUAAAGGCUCACCAAGGCAACGAUCCGUAGCGGGUCUGAGAGGAUGAUCCCCCACACUGGGAGUGAGAACCGGCCCAGACCCCCACGGGAGGCAGCGGUGGGGAAUUUGGGAAAAGGGGCGCAAGCCUGACCCAGCCAUGCCGCGUGAGUGAAAAAGGCCUUCGGGUUGUAAAGCUCUUGCGGCUGGGAAGAAAUCGCCCCCUCUAAUACAGGGUGGGGAUGACGGUCCCAGCAUAAGAAGCACCGGCUAACUACGU